rnacentral:ncRNA from 1 species
CACUGUCGCCAGGGGAGUCCCGCCGUGCAACCGGCAGGGGCUGAGAGAGCCAAGCGCUGACCCUGGAACCUGAUCCGGUUCAUACCGGCGGAGGAAGUGCGACAUGCCCUACCU